CUACGUGCCAGCAGCCGCGGUAAUACGUAGGUGGCAAGCGUUGUCCGGAAUUAUUGGGCGUAAAGCGCGCGCAGGCGGAUUGGUCAGUCUGUCUUAAAAGUUCGGGGCUUAACCCCGUGAUGGGAUGGAAACUGCCAAUCUAGAGUAUCGGAGAGGAAAGUGGAAUUCCUAGUGUAGCGGUGAAAUGCGUAGAUAUUAGGAAGAACACCAGUGGCGAAGGCGACUUUCUGGACGAAAACUGACGCUGAGGCGCGAAAGCCAGGGGAGCGAACGGGAUUAGAUACCCCGGUAGUCCUGGCCGUAAACGAUGGAUACUAGGUGUGGGAGGUAUCGACCCCUACCGUGCCGGAGUUAACGCAAUAAGUAUCCCGCCUGGGGAGUACGGCCGCAAGGCUGAAACUCAAAGGGAUUGACGGGGACCCGCACAAGCGGUGGAGUAUGUGGUUUAAUUCGAAGCAACGCGAAGAACCUUACCAGGCCUUGACAUUGAC
rnacentral:rRNA from 1 species